CCACAACUAUUCUCGCUGUUCUGAUUUUGUAAUAAUCAGGGCAGGCUAAACAUUCUCUAUGUAAGACCGUGCAUGUGUCCUCAGACCUAGUUCUUUCUCUAGCUCUGGUGUUGUCAAUGCUGGUGAUAAAC
ensembl:snoRNA SNORA72 Small nucleolar RNA SNORA72